rnacentral:lncRNA from 7 species
GACAUAGGUGUGAGUGUUCUACACCGCGGGUUCUAUUUUAUAAAAGUCUAGGGACUCUUUAGCAAAUUUGUGAGCCGAAGCCCGAAGGGGUACAGUGAACCGCUCAUAUUAGAUCCAAUGGUGUAGAUUGGAUUUGGGUGCUUUAUGAACCGGUGCGCGCGAUCAACCACACGAUCUAGAUCCCACGCAUAGGAUUCCUGGGCUGAGACGUUAUAUCCCUUCUAAUCCUAACCCUCCAUUUCGGAUCCGAUAACCCUCACAUCUCCUUCUUCCUCCCGACCGAGCUUGAGCAGGGCAUCCAAGUAUAUGCUAGUGAGUUCACCGGAGAACAC